rnacentral:lncRNA from 1 species
UUUGGAUGUGCAAUGCCUUAUGCCGGUUUGUGACAUCUCUUACUGUAAUUUGAUGAGGAGUUCAUUUUGUGAAGUGAGAUUGAGAUUGGUGAUUAUUUCACCUUGUUAAUAGAAGUUAUAGGUUGGUGUAUUGUAUUGACUACUAAGAUGGAUACUUCAAGUUUUAUAUCAGAGUUCCUUGUAUUACUUUUUGUAUUAGGUUUUGUACUGAAGCAUCCUCGUAGAGAGAGCUUGUCAUUGAAAAUGUGUUUGUGUAACCC